GGGCCUUUAGCUCAGUUGGUUAGAGCUCUCGACUCAUAAUCGAGCGGUCGCUGGUUCGAUUCCAGCAAGGCCCACCA
rnacentral:tRNA from 1 species